rnacentral:rRNA from 1 species
GAUGAACGCUAGCGGCAGGCCUAACACAUGCCAGUCGAGGGAGAAGCCCUUUCGGGGUCAGACAUCGGCGCACGGGUGCGUAACGCGUUUGCAACCUACCUUUCACAGGGGGAUAGCUCGAAGAAAUUUGGAUUAAUACUCCAUAAUUAUAUUGGAUGGCAUCCUUUGAUAAUUAAAACUGCGGUGGUGAAAGAUGGGCAUGCGUCCUAUUAGCUAGUUGGAGUGGUAACGGCACCCCAAGGCUACGAUAGGUAGGGGUCCUGAGAGGAAGAACCCCCACACUGGUACUGGGACAAGAACCAGACGCCAACGGGAGGCAGCAGUGAGGAAUAAUGGGCAAUAGUCGGAAGACUGAACCAGCCAGGCCGCGUGCAGGAAGAAUGCCUUAUGGGUUGUAAACUGCUUGUAUAUGAGAAGAAUAAUGCGUACGUGUACGUUGAUGACGGUACCAUAUGAAUAAGCAUCGGCUAACUCCGU